rnacentral:tRNA from 1 species
GUGGCCAUGGUGUAACGGUUAGCACAGAAGCUUGUGGAGCUUUUAGCGAGGGUUCGAUUCCCUCUGGCCACCCCA